UACGAAGGGGGCUAGCGUUGCUCGGAAUCACUGGGCGUAAAGGGUGCGUAGGCGGGUCUUUAAGUCAGGGGUGAAAUCCCGGAGCUCAACUUCGGAACUGCCUUUGAUACAGCACAUCUGGAGUCCGGAAGAGGUGGGUGGAAUUCCUAGUGUAGAGGUGAAAUUCGUAGAUAUUAGGAAGAACACCAGUGGCGAAGGCGGCUCACUGGCCCGGUACUGACGCUGAGGUGCGAAAGCGUGGGGAGCAAACAGG
rnacentral:rRNA from 1 species